rnacentral:rRNA from 1 species
GGCAGAGGUUACUGCUAUCGAGGUUCGACUAAGCCAUGCGAGUCGAAUGUAGCAAUACAUGGCGAACUGCUCAGUAACACGUGGACAACCUGCCCUUAGGUUGGGUAUAAACCCGGGAAACUGGGUAUAAUACCCGAUAGGUCUCGAUUGCUGGAAUGCAUCGAGAUUUAAAGCUCCGGCGCCUAAGGAUGGGUCUGCGGCCUAUCAGGUAGUAGUGGGUGUAGCGUACCUACUAGCCUACGACGGGUACGGGUUGUGAGAGCAAGAGCCCGGAGAUGGAUUCUGAGACACGAAUCCAGGCCCUACGGGGUGCAGCAGGCGCGAAAACUUUACAAUGCUGGCAACAGCGAUAAGGGAACCUCGAGUGCCAGGUUACAAAUCUGGCUGUCGAGAUGCCUAAAAAGCAUUUCAUAGCAAGGGCCGGGCAAGACCGGUGCCAGCCGCCGCGGUAACACCGGCGGCUCGAGUGGUAACCGUUAUUAUUGGGUCUAAAGGGUCUGUAGCCGGCCGGAUAAGUCUCUUGAGAAAUCUGGCAGCUUAACUGUCAGGCUUUCAGGAGAUACUGUCUGGCUCGAGGCCGGGAGAGGUGAGAGGUACUUCAGGGGUAGGGGUGAAAUCUUGUAAUCCUUGAAGGACCACCAGUGGCGAAGGCGUCUCACCAGAACGGACCUGACGGCAAGGGACGAAAGCUAGGGGCACGAACCGGAUUAGAUACCCGGGUAGUCCUAGCCGUAAACGAUACUCGCUAGGUGUCGGCCACGGUGCGACCGUUGUCGGUGCCGUAGGGAAGCCGUGAAGCGAGCCACCUGGGAAGUACGGCCGCAAGGCUGAAACUUAA